rfam:Puccinia graminis f. sp. tritici CRL 75-36-700-3 supercont2.33 genomic scaffold, whole genome shotgun sequence.
GCGUCUGUAGCCUAGUUGGUAAAGGCAGCACUUUAGUAUGUGUCUCAGCAUUGCUGAUGUUGUGAGUUCAAAUCUCACCAGACACA